UACGUAGGGUGGGAGCGUUGCCCGGAUUUAUGGGGCGGAAAGGGCGCGUAGGCGGCCGAUCAAGUCGGGGGUGAAAGCCUGUGGCUCAACCACAGAAUUGCCUUCGAUACUGUUUGGCUUGAGACCGGAAGAGGUAAGUGGAACUGCGAGUGUAGAGGUGAAAUUCGUAGAUAUUCGCAAGAACACCAGUGGCGAAGGCGGCUUACUGGUCCGGUUCUGACGCUGAGGCGCGAAAGCGUGGGGAGCAAACAGG
rnacentral:rRNA from 1 species